CUCUGAGGUGCUUUUAAAUUAUAAAUGGUAAUCAUAAUAAUCUUCCAAUAGAUGUAGUAGAUUUAAUAAACCAUUCUCAAUGCAAACUCUAAUUUAGAGAUGUCAUUAUUGCAUACACUUUGAAAAGUCUAUUGAGGAAAUGUUGAGUGACUAAGUCUAGGAAAAAUCUGAAGGUUUAAUUAAAUUUUAUUGGCUUCUCAUUCUUGACAGUGACUUCUAUGCCAAUGCAGUGCCUAAGAAGAGGGCAUCAUAUCCCCCAAAAGAGACUCAACAAUGAAUUCUGUGUAUCAGUGAAGGGUUCUUUGAGAGAGUUAAUCAACACAGCUGUGAGGAAUGGAGAGUUCCCUUUCACUGAAAUGGGGCCCACUUCUGAGAGUGUGGCUGACACAAUCUGUUCUUUUGUAUUGGUGAUAUAUGCAAGCUGAAGAACAUCAGUGCUGAGUCAUCUGCCUAAGAGUCCCACACUAUAAAUGUGAUGGAUUGUAACAUUUUGCAGAGCACAAAAGGUAAUUGAGUGGAGUCAAUUAGGAAAGUAGGAGGGCUUAGUGAAGGAGAGGUGAGCAAUCUGUAAACUACUGUGACAUCUUUUUUGGCUGUGUUUUUCAAAACAGCUUAGUAGGCCAUCUAGCCUUUAAAUUUAAGGGAUAAUUGGAAACAGCUACUUUGAAAAUUCUGGCCUUAUGAAAAAAUUAGAGGUCUGUUAUUGUAGAGAAAGGAAUUUUCAGAGCAAUGAAGGUUGCAAACAAAUGCAUUCCUUAGAAAUGUGAGAUGCUUUAAGUGAUAUUAAACCAAGAAUUUUAUUCUAUUCAGAAUUUAUUGAAUGCAGAGUCAUUCAUUACAAUAGUUGCCAUACUUGCAAGUCAAAAGCAGUACUUUUUGCCUCAUUAAUAUGUAUUUAGAAAGCAGAUCCUUAUAACAAGUUACUUCUCUUUUAUUAGGCCACAUUGUCACUGUGUUGUUGACGGAUUCUUUACUCUCCUGACCAAAAUAAUAUGCCAGUUACUUAAACAGUCCUAGUUUUCCUCAACAUGUUUGUUUUUGCAGGGACAGGAGCUGGAGUCAAAGAUCCCUCUAAGUUCCUUCCAUCUCAGCACAUUCUGUGAAUUUAUUGAGAAGACAUGGCUGGGGUCACAAAAAGAAGAUGACUGACUGAGCUCUCCAGAACUUUCCUUAAGGAUUUCCUUAGCGCAUUUCUAAUUAGAGAAAAAAGAUAACGUGACAAAAUUCAUCUUACAUUUUACAGGUAUUGCUUCACACCAGCUGGUUUUCUAAGUUAUUACUCUGAAAGGCACUGUUUUAGCACUGUCUUUUUCAUAACACUUCAAAUAAAGCUUUAAUUUUAGGAGGUAAUUGCA
rnacentral:lncRNA from 1 species